rnacentral:rRNA from 1 species
CCUACGGGAGGCAGCAGUGGGGAAUAUUGGACAAUGGGCUAAAGCCUGAUCCAGCAAUGCCGCGUGUGUGAAGAAGGUCUUCGGAUUGUAAAGCACUUUCGACGGGGACGAUGAUGACGGUACCCGUAGAAGAAGCCCCGGCUAACUUCGUGCCAGCAGCCGCGGUAAU